rnacentral:lncRNA from 1 species
UCCAUUCCUGUGUCAUUCUAGGCUUGACUGGGGGGGCUGUUUAGCCAAACAGUUAUGUCCCACCAUCAGACACUUCUCACAAUAUGAUGGCUUCAAAUCAUAUGAAACAUCUUGCAUAAAGCUCUUUCCAUUGGGAUCCAUCAGUUCAAUCUCACUUGGUAAUGCCUUUGAUACAUUCAACUCAAUUAGCAUACGAGCAUAAGAGACUCUACUUUGCUUUGUCGUGCAUUCAUCAGCAAAGAUGGGUUUCCCCAGCACACUUGCAGUUCUACUCAGUGACUUACUGCCCCAACAGGACAUAGGUUAAUUAGGGAAUUUAAUCCACAGGGGAAUUUCUGUUGGGAAAGCAUCUUUAAAAUCAAGAUCAACCGACCAUUGUUUCAAAAUCAUAGGCCUAUUAGCAAUUGAAUAUGGU